rnacentral:rRNA from 1 species
AGAGUUUGAUCCUGGCUCAGGAUGAACGCUGGCGGCGUGCCUAAUACAUGCAAGUCGAGCGAACAGAUAAGGAGCUUGCUCCUUUGACGUUAGCGGCGGACGGGUGAGUAACACGUGGGUAACCUACCUAUAAGACUGGAAUAACUCCGGGAAACCGGGGCUAAUGCCGGAUAAUAUUUAGAACCGCAUGGUUCUAAAGUGAAAGAUGGUUUUACUAUCACUUAUAGAUGGACCCGCGCCGUAUUAGCUAGUUGGUGGGGUAAUGGCUUACCAAGGCAACGAUACGUAGCCGACCUGAGAGGGUGAUCGGCCACACUGGGACUGAGACACGGUCCAGACUCCUACGGGAGGCAGCAGUAGGGAAUCUUCCGCAAUGGGCGAAAGCCUGACGGAGCAACGCCGCGUGAGUGAUGAAGGUCUUCGGAUCGUAAAACUCUGUUAUUAGGGAAGAACAAAUGUGUAAGUAACUGUGCACGUCUUGACGGUACCUAAUCAGAAAGCCACGGCUAACUACGUG